CAUGAACACCAAGGGAGCUUUGGAGACCAAGGUGGCUGCAUUAGAGAACUACAACAUUGAUCAAGAUAACAAGAGAACAGCAUGUCAAGUGGUGUUUGCUGCUUCUCUGGGAAACCGUGGGCAGGUUGGUCCGUUCAACACCUCUAUCACCCUGGACUUUCAAGAUGUAUUGGUUAACACAAGAGGAGCCUACAACUCAACCACUGGCAUCUUCACAGCUCCUGUGAGGGGAGUCUACUUCUUCAUGUACUCUGGACUCAGCAACUCCACUGGAAACAUGGGACUGUUGCUGAUGAAGAACAACAAUUACAACGUAAUUGCAACCUUACAGCAUGUUGCCGGUGAUCGCAUGGAGACAGCUACCAACAGCAUCUCUCUGAUCCUGGAUGUUGGGGACACAGUUUCUUUACAGCUCUCGGGAAACACCUGGAUUUUUGAUAAUUUGUUUAGAUUCACCACAUUCAUGGGUCAACUCCUCUUCCCUCUCUGAUUUACCACCUCCAUUUUCCCUGGAUAGAAGCUUAGUGGCUAAUCUCACUGUUGCACACUCACAAAACAAUAAAACAAACUUAAAUUGGCUAGUUUACUAUGCUUGCCAAGUAUGUCCAGUGACACUUACAUGUUUAUCUUACACUCUUCUCCAUUCAAGGCCAGACAGCUCUAGGAGGAUUACGAGACAGGAAGUAUACCUAAGUCUUGUCAGCUCAAAGAGCAAAUUUUCCUGACAUGUUUUAUUUAAUUGCUUCUUUA